CAUUAGGUUGAUUCUGCCUAACGUAGAUGCUAGUCUCUGAGAUUAGCCAUGCAUGUCAGUGAAGCCUUACGGCGGAAACGCGAACGGCUCAGUAAUGU
rnacentral:ncRNA from 1 species